ACUCAAAUGAAUAGACGGGGACCCGCACAAGCGGCGGAGCAUGUGGCUUAAUUCGAUGCAACGCGAAGAACCUUACCUAGGCUUGACAUGCUAGUUAAAGCGCGUGAAAGCGCGUGUCCGUAAGGGGCUAGCACAGGUGCUGCAUGGCUGUCGUCAGCUCGUGCCGUGAGGUGUUGGCUUAAGUGCCGCAACGAGCGCAACCCCUGUCCUUAGUUGCCAGCACGUAAUGGUGGGGACUCUAAGGAGACUGCCGGGGACAACUCGGAGGAAGGUGGGGAUGACGUCAAGUCAGCAUGGCCCUUAUGUCUAGGGCUGCACACAUGCUACAUUGCGCGCUACAAAGGGCUGCGAUACCGCGAGGUGGAGCGAAUCCCAGAAAAGCGCGCCUGGUUCGGAUUGGAGUCUGCAACUCGACUCCAUGAAGUCGGAGUCGCUAGUAAUCGCAGAUCAGCAAUGCUGCGGUGAAUACGUUCCCGGGUCUUGUACACACCGCCCGU
rnacentral:rRNA from 1 species